UGAUUCCUCUGCCUUGGCCUCCCAAAGUGCUGGGAUUACAGGCAUGAGCCACCACACCCAGGUACUUGUUAAGCCUGAGAAUAGAAUUGCUGGCCCUCCUUCUAUGUAAGCUCCCAGUCUGUCUGCAGAGGCCAGCCUUAAGGUUACUGUUUCUGCUGCUCAGAUGGCCCCAAGCAGGGGGACUCCAGGUGUGAUAUUGGGUACAUUGGUCAUCCCUCUGCCUCCCACCUGGAUGGAAACAGUCUGAGAGCCCUCUCUGUGGCUUGGUUUUAGGCAGGACCUUAGGACUUGUGGGUGAAUUGAUGGGGGAGAUACACACUUACCUAUGUCCUCUUUCCCAGCAUGGGACUUGAAUGCUGCUAUUGGUGCACAUUUCUGCAGACGUGUCUCUGGCUGUCAGGAUGCAGAAUGUUGGUAGGUCCAGUGUGGGGGCUGCCAAAGGCGGUGUCAUGUGCUCUGUGGAUUUUUGUGUGAUUAUAAUGGUCCCAUUUGAAGUUUUCCUGUUUGUUGCAGUAAAACCUCUCUUCAGUGUCUGUUACCUUUCUCUAUAUUCUUGGUGAAGGAGAGAGAUAGUAAUAAGGGGCCUAAAUGAGGUAAGAAGAGCAGAUGCUGUUCUCUGCUUCCUCCCUGCCACCAACAUUCCUUCUGCCCUGUUUUUCCUGGCCAGCUGUGCUCUGGGCAGUCCAAGCCUGUGAACCAGCCACACCCAGGAUCUGUGGUGGAGCUCAGUCCCAGACUGUUCUGGAAGAGUCGCCCAGAGGAGCCGUGUGGUCUCCCAUUCAGCAACAGAGUACGGGAUGGUCUCUCUGAAGGGCAGAGGGUCUGAGCACUGUCCCCUUCAUGGCAUCUAAGGCUGAAAUGCUGAAUGAUGCAAUGAGAGGAUUCUAGGGGAGAAAAGGAGCUGUACAUGGGCUUGAUUCUUCCCUCCCCAGCUGGUGGACACAGCACCAGAGGUGGAGCUGGAGGGCCCUCCACUGACCCACAUGCACUCCACUUUGCAGCUGUGCCCUGGGACACACUUAUAAUCUCAAAGUGUUAUGAAUUCCAACCACUGGAUUCUACCCUACUUCUGACAUAAUCUUCUUGGGUUGAUAGUAGCCUGUCUCAUUACCGAGUAUUUCUUCUUAUGGGUAGCCCUGGUUAGUCAUUUUCUUUUAACUUUUUGUUUAAAGAAGACCUGUAGAUAUGAGCUUUUUGUCAGAGAUGAUCUCUGCAGGCCUGAGUCUAAACUGUUAACCCUCUCUCAGAGAAUGAGUGCUGGCUCUUGAAUUUCAGGCGCUUUGACAUUUACUGAGGGAAAGAAGGAGAAUGGAAGGAGUGAGCAUAAAGCGCUGACCUGAGUGGAAUGGCGGGUCGACUUGCCAGAGCCCCGAGAUGAUUAUACUCUCCCAGCUCUAGGACAAGCUGUCCAAUUUCCCAAAAACCAAUUUGACAAUUGUCGAGUGACCAAUUUGCUGAAUUAGAAGAAUUUACUAAUUUACCAAAUUGCUUAUUUCUUUUAUGCAUUUCUAAAGACUUGAGCAAUUGGCAUGGGCUGGGUUGGCAGGGCCUGAAAGGGUUUGGAGCAAUGAGUCAGAAGCAAUGGUCUCUGGGAACAACCCUGUAGGUGGCGCCACUCUCUGGACUGAGAGGGGCACUGGGUGGAUGGUGGAGAGUUAGGGGAGGCUUUGCUGCAGAGAUCCGAGCCUUGCUGACUCUUCAGUUCUUGUUUUUAAAGCAAUCCUUAUUUUUGACCACCUUUUUUCCUUAAAAGUCAGUCAGCUCACCACUUUUGGAUUCUUCCUUGACUUCCUGGCCGUACAUACUUCCCAUCCUCACGCUGCCUCACUUGUUUGGCUCUUCAUCUCUCUCCUUCUCCUCCUUCACCCUGGAGCAACACCGGAGGCCUCUCAUGUCCUCCCGUGGAGAAGUGGGAGAACAGCACAGCCCUUGCCUUACUAUUUUGUUCUUACGACCCUCAGACCUUCAGGGGCUCACUUUCUCCCACAGCACUGUAGCCAAAGAAAGGUUUCUUUCCUAAGAGGGAUUAUGGUAUCAGCUCUUCAAAUACCAUUAAAUUUUUAUUUUCUACACAUAAACACAUUCUUAUGGUUUUGGAAAAUGGAAGCAGUAUAAAACCAAAAUUUUUUGCAAACUCAGUGUGAUAGCCUUCAUAUAUUAGGCAUUCAAUGAAUAUUUUAGUGAUUAACAAAUGGGUGGUUUUUAAUAAUGAACCUCACCCUGUUAUAACCAAAUACUCGUGUCAGAGAAACUAGCUUGCUUUUAUAUCAAGAUUAUGGCCCUGGAUUUUGAUAAUGCCACAGAAAUAUUGUCAAAUGUUGUUCACUCGGCUCUGCUCUUUCCAAGUUGAGGUGAGCUAAGGGAGCCAACCAAAGUAAGGUUGGUUUCCUGCUCCUUUUCCCCCCCACUUAACCCUUUGCUUAAAAAGCUCUCCGAGGCCAUAAACUACUAGGACACAACUCCCUAUUAAUUAGCCAUUUAUAACUAUGUUUCUGUUGAUUUUUUGGACCAAUCAUUAAUUUGAUAGGGUUAUAGGAAGUCCUAUGCUCCUGUAACUGAGAAGACACUGUCUAAGUGUGGGUCCAGAUUGAGGAGGUCCUUUGGGGUCUGUUGCUUCUAUCAUUGGCCUGACCCACGCUGUCUCUCAAAUUCAGACCUCUCAGAAAAAGGAAGAAAGGCUUCAUCCGCAGUGGGCAUUAAAAAAAAUCAUAAACAUCUAUUCAUGGUCUUGGAAUUGAAUCUUAAGGCAAAGCAGGAUCUCAGACAGCUGCUCCAAAAGAGUCAGAUGCUGAGAUCCAUUGUCCACCCUGGCUCCUGCUCUGAAUUGACAUCAGUUUGCAACUAGCAGUUUCAUAAAUCAAGAAAAAGAAGAAAGGUAAAUUAAUGACUGUGUUAACUAGAGGGGCUCUGAAUUUCUGCUUUACAUGUACUCAUUUUGAAUUUCACUUUUAUUAUAAUGAACUUGCAAACACAGCAUUGCAAUAGUAUAUGCACCUCCCAAAGAUGCUGGGAAAUAGCUGAUAUUUCAUCAUUUGAGGACAGUUUGUGCCUGCAAGUGGCAGAGGUGCAGGAGGAGACAAAUAAAAGGGAUGCCUACAUCCUAUUUCCAUGAAUUUCUGUCCUCUGAGCUGAAAGACAAUUUACAAGUUGGCUGAUAAGACCUUGAAGAAAGAAGAUAUUUUAAAACUUUAAUUGAAAAUCCCCAUUCCUUCUCAUUGAAGAAGCAAAAGAAGAAACUAUAAUGAUGGACACUCUGGUGCUAGUAUCAGUCAUUUUGAUCACAAGACGUGGACCAGCCCACCUUGGAGCUCACUGUGGUGGUGGCCUGGUCCUAAUGCAAGUCCUAAUGGAGCUCUUGGAACUGGCUGUAGCCUUUGCUGAGCAGGAGCAACUAUGUCUCUGGUUCUUAAGGAUUGAAAAGUGUCUGUGGCCAUCUGAAAACGUCCACAUGAUGCCAGACCAUGCUUUACUCUGAAAAUCCACCGAUAAGGUACGUUGAAGAUGGAGAACAACUGAUGUCAAGACACAUUUUGGUUGUAAGGGACAGAAGUCCAACUCCAACGAGCUUGCCAAGGAUGGAACCUGCUGGCAAACAUAACCAAACUUUGGGAAGGGCAGGGUAUGGUUAACCUCAGGUUUCUGGAAGCAGAGUGUACAGUGCUGUGCCGUCCCUCUUCUCUCUGCUUCUCUCUGCGUAUUGGCCCUAUCCUCUCAGUGGGGCACCCUCCCUGAGCAGCGAACAGCAGCCACAGGAAGCUCCAGUGUCAAUGCCUCCCACAGCUUUCCAGAGAAGCAGCAGCCUCUUUGUUAGCUCCGUAUCAAAGACAUCCACAGGCAGGGCUUUGUGUGACCCAGUUUGGGUCACGUCUUUAUUUGGGGCCCGGAGGAAAUGGAUACAAUGACUACAGCCCAUCAUAGAACCUCAUGUUUAGAGGACCAAAUUUCCUCUCUCCAAAAGUGAAAUGUUGUCACUGUCCAUUCAACUGAUGAAAAUCUUCCUUUUCAACAGAAAAACUAUCAUGAUGUUGUCUGUUGGGCUUCAGUUUCUUACAGCAGUCAUCUUAAGAAUUAAACUGGUAUGGAUAAUCUGACUAUGAACUCCUUGAGGGCAGGGACCAUAUUAUAUAAUACUUCUGUGUCCUCUGCUAUUUCUUAGCAGAAUUUUGAAAAUGUGCCAAGUGUUGACUUGGUUCGAUCACUUGUGAGAAUGGAGGGACCCAUAAUGUUAAUAAUCAAUGAAGGUUGUUGGAGUUACUUACCCAAAACCUUAUGAACUUAGCCUUCCCUAGCAGAUUUAGUUUCGUAAUUUGUCCGGUAUAAGCAAACACUAAAGAGGGAUUGGGGAAAGUUGUGAGUUGAGUAGUUGGGAAAAAGGUAGUUUGCAGUUUUAUUUACGUCUCACAGCUUGACAUUUUUUGUUUGCCUUGGAGGGGGUACUUUUAAAAAUUCCUCUUUUGAAAACAAUAAAAUCUUAGAUUUUGGAUAACAGAUAUUUCUGUACUAUAUACCUCACUUAAGAUUUUCAAAGUAAUGUUUAAAAGUGCCUUUUAUAUUUUUUCAUACCACAUUGUAGGGAAGGCCAGGGUCAUUUUUUAACACUUAACUAUGCUCAAUACCUCCUCACCACUAUAAAGUAAGGUCGAAUGUUGGUUAAAGCAAAGCUGUCUGGAAUCACCCUGUCAAAAGUACUGAUUUAUAACCUUGCUACUCACAUUUCUUACUGUGGUGCCCUCCCUCUUGUUGGCUCCUGCAUCUUUGAAGUACAGGGAAAAUGAACUAAUAUGGCAGCUCCAAUAUGCAGCUAAUCCUGCCAAUGAUGUCUCCCCUGGAAGUGUUUGAGAGAAGAAUUUCUUUUCCCAGUAUGGAUUUAUGUAAACAUUUGUUCCAUUCACGAGUAGCACAUUAAUGCCUAAUUCUGGAAAAAAUACAAAGAAAAAACCUUU
rnacentral:lncRNA from 1 species